UAUCGCUGUGUAUUUUUUAAUUCUUUUUUUCUCGUAUUUUAAUAGAUGGUUCAGCAAACAGCCGGGAGUCAGCUCUGCAGAGACGUCUAGUGUCCAGGGAGGUCUUCAACAGGGGGUCCGCACAGUGAACGGAUAAAUUGAUGGAGGAGACGUCAUCUUUCAGUCCGCAACACACACAUUCAUCUUCCCACAGCAGCUCACUCACAGCACCUAUCAUGUAAAUACGACAUCACAGGCAGCAGCCAAUCAGAUCGCGUUCAUGCUCGCGUCUAAAGAGCGCAAAAAUAAAAGAUGGCGGACCAAACCCCUGCUUCAUCUCGCCAUCAGUUUGGGGGUCCUUGGCCUGAAAAACCUUGAAGACCCCUGCUCUAUUAUGUUACCUGCAUCAUCAUUUCUCCUGUUUUUCUCCUGCACAAAUACCUCAUCCACAAUCCGUUGUUCUCAUCCCACACGGUGCGAGCAGUGGGAUGCCGUAAAGGUGCCUGCCAGCAGGGUGUCUUGCUCAGGGGCACUUCGACAUGGGACAGGGAGCAGCCAGGGUUCAAACCACCAACCCUGAAGUUCCCGGCUCACCCUCUCUUCUCCAUGCCAUUGAUCUUUCCUGCAGUACAACCGGUGACCAGCAGGUGGCACUGUAACACCAUCUAUCCACCAAGCUCCUCUCAUCUUCUCUCCUUGUCGUCAUCAGAGAAACUACAUGGACACACGCAUGUACUGGCUUUAUUGUCCAUUCAAAGCCUCAAACUGAUGCAGUUUAUAAAAAACUUAAACAUAGUCUAAUAUGUUCUUGUGUGUCUGCUACUUUAAUUGAUGUUUGAAUUUGAAACAGCUGG
ensembl:lncRNA